UACGAAGGGGGCUAGCGUUGCUCGGAAUCACUGGGCGUAAAGCGCACGUAGGCGGUUUGUUGAGUCAGGGGUGAAAUCCUGGAGCUCAACUCCAGAACUGCCUUUGAUACUGGCGAUCUUGAGUCCGGGAGAGGUGAGUGGAACUGCGAGUGUAGAGGUGAAAUUCGUAGAUAUUCGCAAGAACACCAGUGGCGAAGGCGGCUCACUGGCCCGGUACUGACGCUGAGGUGCGAAAGCGUGGGGAGCAAACAGG
rnacentral:rRNA from 1 species